rnacentral:rRNA from 1 species
CAGCCGCCGCGGUAAUACGUAGAUGGCAAGCGCUGUCCGGAAUUAUUGGGCGUAAAGGGCUCGCAGGCGGUUUCUUAAGUCUGAUGUGAAAGCCCCCGGCUCAACCGGGGAGGGUCAUUGGAAACUGGGAAACUUGAGUGCAGAAGAGGAGAGUGGAAUUCCACGUGUAGCGGUGAAAUGCGUAGAGAUGUGGAGGAACACCAGUGGCGAAGGCGACUCUCUGGUCUGUAACUGACGCUGAGGAGCGAAAGCGUGGGGAGCGAACAGGAUUAGAUACCCCCGUAGUCCCUGUCUCUUAUAC